rnacentral:rRNA from 1 species
GUAGGCGAUGGAUAACAGGUUGAUAUUCCUGUACCACCUAUAAUCGUUUUAAUCGAUGGGGGGACGCAGUAGGAUAGGCGAAGCGUGCGAUUGGAUUGCACGUCUAAGCAGUAAGGCUGAGUAUUAGGCAAAUCCGGUACUCAUUAAGGCUGAGCUGUGAUGGGGAGAAGACAUUGUGUCUUCGAGUCGUUGAUUUCACACUGCCGAGAAAAGCCUCUAGAUAGAAAAUAGGUGCCCGUACCGCAAACCGACACAGGUAGUCAAGAUGAGAAUUCUAAGGUGAGCGAGCGAACUCUCGUUAAGGAACUCGGCAAAAUGACCCCGUAACUUCGGGAGAAGGGGUGCUCUUUAGGGUUAACGCCCAGAAGAGCCGCAGUGAAUAGGCCCAAGCGACUGUUUAUCAAAAACACAGGUCUCUGCUAAACCGUAAGGUGAUGUAUAGGGGCUGACGCCUGCCCGGUGCUGGAAGGUUAAGAGGAGUGGUUAGCUUCUGCGAAGCUACGAAUCGAAGCCCCAGUAAACGGCGGCCGUAACUAUAACGGUCCUAAGGUAGCGAAAUUCCUUGUCGGGUAAGUUCCGACCCGCACGAAAGGCGUAACGAUUUGGGCACUGUCUCAACGAGAGACUCGGUGAAAUCAUAGUACCUGUGAAGAUGCAGGUUACCCGCGACAGGACGGAAAGACCCCGUGGAGCUUUACUGUAGCCUGAUAUUGAAAUUCGGCACAGCUUGUACAGGAUAGGUAGGAGCCUUUGAAACGUGAGCGCUAGCUUACGUGGAGGCGCUGGUGGGAUACUACCCUAGCUGUGUUGGCUUUCUAACCCGCACCACUUAUCGUGGUGGGAGACAGUGUCAGGCGGGCAGUUUGACUGGGGCGGUCGCCUCCUAAAAGGUAACGGAGGCGCUCAAAGGUUCCCUCAGAAUGGUUGGAAAUCAUUCAUAGAGUGUAAAGGCAUAAGGGAGCUUGACUGCGAGACCUACAAGUCGAGCAGGGUCGAAAGACGGACUUAGUGAUCCGGUGGUUCCGCAUGGAAGGGCCAUCGCUCAACGGAUAAAAGCUACCCCGGGGAUAACAGGCUUAUCUCCCCCAAGAGUUCACAUCGACGGGGAGGUUUGGCACCUCGAUGUCGGCUCAUCGCAUCCUGGGGCUGUAGUCGGUCCCAAGGGUUGGGCUGUUCGCCCAUUAAAGCGGUACGCGAGCUGGGUUCAGAACGUCGUGAGACAGUUCGGUCCCUAUCCGUCGUGGGCGUAGGAAAUUUGAGAGGAGCUGUCCUUAGUACGAGAGGACCGGGAUGGACAUACCUCUGGUGUACCAGUUGUCGUGCCAACGGCAUAGCUGGGUAGCUAUGUGUGGACGGGAUAAGUGCUGAAAGCAUCUAAGCAUGAAGCCCCCCUCAAGAUGAGAUUUCCCAACUUCGGUUAUAAGAUCCCUCAAAGAUGAUGAGGUUAAUAGGUUCGAGGUGGAAGCAUGGUGACAUGUGGAGCUGACGAAUACUAA